ACGGCCUGAGGGGGUCCCCCCGCUCCCCCAGCGCUGUCCCGGGGCUCUCUCAGUACUGUACCCCCCCGGCCGGGGACCCCAGCCCGCCGCCCCGCAGGCGCCCACCUUUCCCCUUCUCCAGCCUCCUCCCCUCUCUUCGCCCCUCGAGCAUCACUGCCAGCGACUGGGGGAGCCAAGGGAGAGCUCCAGCUGCCCCCGGCACGGGGGCUGUGCCCCCUCAGUGCCCUGUGCCAGCACGGGGGCUGUGCCCCCCCGGAGGAAGGGCAGGGGGACCCACGAGCUCCGUGCCAGGGAGAGCCCCGGGCAGGGCUGCACAGGACCAGCAGCAGUGCAGAACCACAGCCAGGUGUGCACACCUGGAAACACCUGGCAGGCCUGGCACACCUGGAAACGCCUGGGAGGCCUGGAACACCUGGAAACACUUGGCACUCCUGGAAUUCCUGGCAGGCCUGGCACACCUGGAAACUCCUGGCAGGCCUGGCACACCUGGAAACACCUGGCAGGCCUGGAACACCUGGAAACACCUGGGAGGCCUGGAACACCUGGAAACACUUGGCACUCCUGGAAUUCCUGGCAGGCCUGGCACACCUGGCACAUCUGGCAGGCCUGGAAUACCUGGAAACACCUGGCAGGCCUGGAACACUUGGAAACACCUGGCAGGCCUGGAAUCCCUGGCAGGCCUGGCACACCUGGCACUCCUAGCACACCUGGCAGGCCUCCUGGCAGGCCUGGCACACCUGGAAACACCUGGCAGGCCUGGAAACACCUGGCAGGUCUGGAACACCUGGAAACACCUGGCACUCCUGGAAUUCCUGGCACACCUGGCACUCCUGGCACUCCUAGUACACCUGGCAAACCUGGCACACCUGGCACUCCUGGCACUCCUAGUACACCUGGCAAACCUGGCACACCUGGCACACCUGGCACACCUGGCAGUCCUGGCACACCUCUGUUGCUACAUGGGGGGUGUUGCUUUGGGGCAGUGCAGGCGGAUGGAGUCAGAGGCUCCAGGAAAUCAGAUCAGAGCUUUGGACAUCCCUGGGCACAGCCGGCCCCCGCUGUGCCAGCCGGGCACUGAGCCCGUCCCCAGGACCUGCCGGCAGAAAGAUCCCGGCAGCGGCCCCAUCCCAUCCCCUCCUCAGGCCAUCCCCUCCUCAGGCCAUCCCCUCCCUUCCUCAGGCCAUCCCAUCCCCUCCUCAGGCCAUCCCUUCCUCAGGCCAUCCCAUCCCCUCCUCAGGCCAUCCCAUCCCUUCCUCAUCCCAUCCCCUCCCCAGCCAUCCCCCAGGACUCCGAGCUGGUUCCCCCCUCCAGGGAAAGCUCUGAGUGCCAGGCAGGCUCUGGGCUCCCCCAUCGCUCUGCUCGGGCUCCUGGGCACUUUGGAAAGGUACCACUGAUGCCUCCCUGGUUUUCUGUAAAUUCAAUUCCUUCGCCUUCAAAAUGUUUCCACAUGGAAUUUUUUUUUUUUUUUUUGGGGGGUGCUUUUUCUGGUUGGUUUGGUUUGGUUUUGAUUUUUUGGGGAUUUUUUUGGGGAUUUUUUUGGGGUUUUUUUGUUUGUUUGUUUUGGUUUUGGGGGCUUUUGGGUUUUUCGGGGGCUUUGUUAUGUUUUGUUUUGUUUUCCUUUCCUAAACAAGUAGCAGCUGCCUCCCCAGCUCUGAGUGAAGAAGAGCCAUUGUGCUUGCUCACUCUUGUCAGCAGCA
ensembl:lncRNA